GUGCUCACUUCUGCAGCACAUAUACUAAAACUGGAACAAUAUAGAGAAGAUUAGCAUGACCCCUGGGCAAGGAUGACAUGCAAAUUCAUGAAGUGUUCCAUAUUAAA
rnacentral:snRNA from 1 species